UACAGAGGUCCCAAGCGUUGUCCGGAAUCACUGGGCGUAAAGGGCGCGUAGGUGGUUUGAUGAGGGUGUGGUGAAAGUCCGGGGCUCAACCCCGGAUCUGCCGUGCCGACUGUCAAACUCGAGGACUGUAGAGGCAGACGGAAUUCCGGGUGUAGCGGUGGAAUGCGUAGAGAUCCGGAGGAAGACCGGUGGCGAAGGCGGUCUGCUGGGCAGUUUCUGACACUGAGGCGCGACAGCGUGGGGAGCAAACAGG
rnacentral:rRNA from 1 species